CGGGGUGUAGCGCAGUCUGGCUAGCGUAUCUGCUUUGGGAGCAGGAGGUCGGAGGUUCGAAUCCUCUCACCCCGACCA
rnacentral:tRNA from 1 species